rnacentral:rRNA from 1 species
UACGUAGGUCCCGAGCGUUAUCCGGAAUUACUGGGCGUAAAGCGUCUGUAGGCUGAAAUAUAAGUUGAAUGCGAAAGACCGAAGCUCAACUUCGUGUUUGUAUUCAAGACUGUAUUUCUAGAAUAAGGGAGAGGUAAGCGGAAUUGUGAGAGUAGGGGUGCAAUCCGUAGAUACUCACAAGAACACCAAAAGCGAAGGCAGCUUACUGGAACUUUAUUGACGCUGAGAGACGAAAGCGUGGGGAG